AAAUUUUUUUGUAGUAUAUAUAAAUUACAAAUUCAGAAGAGGUUCUCCAGAUCCGCAGGGAAAUCUCUGUCGUAAUGCAAAGAUUGACAUUUUGGCGGACAAACUGGCGGAAACCACCGCCAUUUUAAAGGUGUCGUUUGCUCCUGACAAGGAUUUUUCGGGCGUGGUACCAUUUCCGUUAAAAACGGAAGAAGAAUUGGAUGAAUUCGAAAAUUCUUUUACCCCGGAGCAUAUCGGUUUAUACACAAAGAAAAUAUCAAAAAUUAUUUGAAGCGAACCGCUGUCAAAGCGGUUCAAACUUACCAUAGCGGAAGACAUUAUAAGCAACUACAAUUUGGACGUGUCCAACGGGAAAAAGUCCCUCAGAUCCCGUAUAGGGUUAUACGAAGUUCUUAAAGGAGCGUUGGCCAAGGACUCCGAGGACCCGGACAAAUGUUUGAGAAAGGAGAUGACAAGUGUUAAAAAUAAGCUUACAAAACAAAAUAACAGAAACAAUAAUUGUCCAUUAUUUGAAAAUUUGAA